rnacentral:rRNA from 1 species
GAUGAACGCUGGCGGCGUGCCUAAUACAUGCAAGUCGAACGAAACUUCUUUAUCAUCGAGUGCUUGCACUCACCGAUAAAGAGUUGAGUGGCGAACGGGUGAGUAACACGUGGGCAACCUGCCCGAAAGAGGGGGAUAACACUUGGAAACAGGUGCUAAUACCGCAUAACCAUGAACACCGCAUGGUGUUCAUGUGAAAGGUGGUUUCGGCUACCGCUUUCGGAUGGGCCCGCGGCGCAUUAGCUAGUUGGUGGGGUAAAGGCUUACCAAGGCAAUGAGGCGUAGCGCAACGGAGGGGUUGAUCGGCCACAUUGGGACGGAGACACGGCCCAAACUCCGAAGGGAGGCAGCAGUAGGGAAUCUUCCACAAUGGGCGAAAGCCUGAUGGAGCAACGCCGCGUGGGUGAAGAAGGUCUUCGGAUCGUAAAACCCUGUUGUCAGAGAAGAAAGUGCAUGAGAGUAACUGUUCAUGUUUCGACGGUAUCUGACCAGAAAGCCACGGCUAACUACGUGCCAGCCGCCGCGGUAA